rnacentral:rRNA from 1 species
UCGUGGCUAUACCCUGAGGGCCACACCCGUUCCCAUCCCGAACACGACCGUUAAGCCUCAGUGGGCCGAUGAUACUGCCCUGAACAUGAGUGGGAAAGUAGGUCGCCGCGACGU